rnacentral:rRNA from 1 species
CUACAAAUGAAUUGACGGGACCCGCACAAGCGGUGGAUGAUGUGGAUUAAUUCGAUGCAACGCGAAAACCUUACCUACCCUUGACAUGUCCGGAAUCCCGAAGAGAUUUGGGAGUGCUCGCAAGAGAACCGGAACACAGGUGCUGCAUGGCUGUCGUCAGCCCGUGUCGUGAGAUGUUGGGUUAAGUCCCGCAACGAGCGCAACCCUUGUCAUUAGUUGCCAUCAUUUGGUUGGGCACUCUAAUGAGACUGCCGGUGACAAACCGGAGGAAGGUGGGGAUGACGUCAAGUCCUCAUGGCCCUUAUGGGUAGGGCUUCACACGUCAUACAAUGGUCGGUACAGAGGGUUGCCAACCCGCGAGGGGGAGCUAAUCCCACAAAGCCGAUCGUAGUCCGGAUCGCAGUCUGCAACUCGACUGCGUGAAGUCGGAAUCGCUAGUAAUCGUGGAUCAGAAUGUCACGGUGAAUACGUUCCCGGGUCUU